rnacentral:rRNA from 1 species
CAGUCGCCGCGGGAACACAGAGGGUGCGAGCGUUAAUCGGAUUUACUGGGCGUAAAGCGUGCGUAGGCGGCUUUUUAAGUCGGAUGUGAAAUCCCUGAGCUUAACUUAGGAAUUGCAUUCGAUACUGGGAAGCUAGAGUAUGGGAGAGGAUGGUAGAAUUCCAGGUGUAGCGGUGAAAUGCGUAGAGAUCUGGAGGAAUACCGAUGGCGAAGGCAGCCAUCUGGCAUAAUACUGACGCUGAGGUACGAAAGCAUGGGGAGCAAACAGGAUUAGAUACCCGGGUAGUCCCUGUCUCUUAUAC